AGUGAUUUAUACCAUGACAAAAACCUCAACACAAACACUUCUGUUUUUUGACAAAUGGUGAACUGCUGGAGCGAAGAAUAAUAAAGGCAUCCAUUCCAUAUUUUUACAGUUUCAGUCUUUAUGAUAUAUUUGUUACAAUUGUGUACUCCCUUGUUUAAUGGUUGUCUUUUAAAUAUAAAACAUAAAUAACCACUCAUAACAGAGUGGUUAUUUAACAGUAGUAACCGUCUUCAUGUUACCUUACUAACAGAAGUAAAAAAAUAUAUUAGAAGAUUCUGCUGCCUCUGAUGUUUUUUGGUAAAAUUUGUUUUACGCAGUUUUGUUUCUUUAUCAUAUAUAUAAAAUAAUACAUGUUCGUAGAGUUUUAUGUGGACUUCCAGAUUUAAGUUUGAAAAGUCUGCUCAAGACUUUGUGUCAGAGUUCUUUGUGGAUUCAUUUGUUUUCAAAGUUCCUCUGUGAUUUGAAGGGUUCAGUUAUGUCCUCCCAGUACAAUCUGGAAAAAUUCAAAAGGGAAUGGGAAAAAAAAGAAAAAGGUCCCAGCAGUUCACCAUCAGUUUGGUUCACUUCUGUUCAGUUUCCAUUGGAAGGUAGAAAAAUAACCUGACUAGUAAAGGGCCAGAACAAUGACAACAAUUCAUGUUCAACUAUCAAUUCAAAUCAGUUUACCAGUAAACACUAAUAAAAUACACACUUUAAAUAACUAAACAAGCAGUUCAGAAAACACAUGGGGCUUUCAGAAUAUACAAUAAAUCUAAAUAUUAGAUUCAUGAAUCUCCUCCUCUGCUUUUUGGCUCCUCGGGAUCUUUAUAAGCCUCUGUUUCUCAUCUCCUUUCAGCCCAACCUAUUCACUAUUGAGUUGGACAGAACCAAACAUUUACACCACAAAUUGACAACAUGCUGUGGACCCUAUGCAGUCUCAUCACUGCUUUAACAUGUGUUGAUGCAGCAAUAACAUUGACCCAGACACCUCCUGUCAAGACAGUCUCAGCAGGACAACAAGUUGUUCUAAACUGCAACAUUCAAAGAUAUGAUAGAAAUUAUGUCAAAUAGUACAAACAAGUUCCUAGUGGAGUUCCUCAGUAUGUUCUGUGUUUCUGGCACCAUGACAGUUCACUGAACUUUGGAACAGGAUUCUCUUCAGACCGAUUCAACUCUAAAUAAUCAUCAGACAUUGAUUAUCAGUUCAUUAUUAUACAGGCAGAAGCAGUUUUUGUCACAGUGUGACAAAAACCCAAACAUCCAGACUGAUCAAAUAUCUGAACAUUAAACAGUCCACAACAUGCAUUUGUUACUAUAAACCAUACUGCCACUGCUUAAAUAUGUCCACAGAGACCAAAGUGAGUUAGUGUUUUCUAAUAAAAGCAGAAUGAUGAAGAAACUGAGAUGUUUUCAGUGAAAGUUGCUCACAGCAGGAUGUUUCACUUCCACUCUGUCAUCAGAAACAAUCAGGAGGUUUUUGUACGGCGAUGUAUACAAACUGAAUCACUGUGGUAUUCGGACCGGGAACCAAGCUGUUUGUCACAGGCUCCACUCUUCCUCCUCCUGUCCUGACGGUUUUCCCUCCAUCCAAGGCUGAGCUCCAGUCCAACAAAGCCACUCUGCUCUGUCUGUCCACUCAGUCUGGACCUUUUGCUGAUGUGAACUGGUUGGUUGAUGGGAGUCCAGUAAGCAGUGGGAUCACUACCAGCACUGCUGUU